AAAUGGUCUACUACAAUAUGUGCACCACCUGCAUGGUCAACUGCGUUCCUGCCCUCAUCUGUAAAACAAAGAAUUACAUUAAAAAAAAAAAUGAAACCAAACCCCACCGUCGAAUCCCGAACGUAACAGUAAUCAUACAAAAUGAAGCUUUUAAACAGAGUGAAGUUAUUCCUCCAGUGUUGUCAAAUUCGCCUAGAGAGAUGAUCGAGGGCCAGCUUUUAGUGCAACAGAGCUAGGAAAGUGAAAACACCUACAAAAAACCAGAUUAACCACCUAGCACUAAUACCUUUGUAAAGAAGUUCAGUGUUUGAGGCAGAGCUGCUGGAGCUGAUAAAUAAUAUUCUGAAGAUACACUGAGUUUUGCCAGAGGGAGGUACUGAGCACUUGACAUAGCCUAGCUCAUAUGCAGGUAAAUUACUCUUGCUGUUAUGCAGAUCAAGAAAUUGAAAUACAGAAAAUAAAUUGCUUGGGUUACUUAAAAAGGGGAAUAAAACAGACAAAGCAGACAGAGGUUCUAGUUCCGAGUGGCAACUGUUCAUGCAUGCACUCUGCCACACAGCAUGUUCUCUGUACUUCUAUAGCUGAAAUUUAAUACCACUAUCAGAUUCUUUCUGUAUGCCUAAAAGAAAAACUUGCUCUGCAUCUAUAAUAGACUACAACUUUCUGAAGGGUUGUAAAUAAUAGAUCAUAAUCUUUGUAUGGAACUCUUUCCAUAUAACAAAUCAGAUUUGACGCAACAGUGUAGGAAUAAAGGAAAAAUAAGCCUUCUAUUACAGUAAUCACCAAUACUGCUUCCUUCCCCAGCAGGCAGUAAGCAAUAGACAACAGUCAAUAAACUAAAUUCUGGGGCUUCCAAAAGGAGAGAUUUCCAUGUGAGCUACCACUGGACUCAGCUGGAAAAUCUGGAUGAAAACAAAAGCUUGGGGGGGCAAGGAGGAGGCAAUCACUGAAGUUUUGCAAUAUAAACAACUCCAAACCCUCUCCUCCAUUUUUAAAAUUUUUUCCUCAAAGCAAAUCUCCUCUUUUCUUUGUUAUUCACCAUUCCACCAUCACUCCUCUCUCUCCCCAUUGUAUGUGGAGGUCAAGCUACCAAAGUUUUCGUCAUUCUGCAACAUAUUCAGCAUGAAACCCAAGGCUGUACACAUUUAUAAUACGAUCUUCCACUGUAAAGUGUUUCAGAGCUCUGCAAAAAGAAGCUUCUAAAUCUUCCAAUUCUUGUUAAUACUAUUUAUGAACUAUAUAUACCCCUUAUACUAUAUAUAAAAACCCAGGAUUCUAAUAUUGCAUAUAGGGACUUUAGAAAAUUUGUCGAAUGGAGCUGAAGGAAGGGUAAUUCUUGCCAGGUCUUAACUUAAAAUUAUUACCAAAGCAGCAAGAGUUUUGCAGAAUAAAUUCACUGCCACGACUGUUUCCACCUUGGACAGGAUCAGGAUAUCAGAAAACUGUGUUUCGCUGCAGGCAUGUCUAUCUCAUUUUGAAAAAGGAGAAACUGUGAUCUAGUUAAUAGUUAAAUUCAAGGUAGGACUCUGUGCCAAGGAACAACUGUUAAAAAAAGGACAAAUAGAAAAGAAAUCACUCACAUCCUUGAUGUCAUAACAAACAUAGCUAUAAUGCUGAAACAAAAGGAAGUCCUACAUCAAAAUAUAAUAAAACAAUAUAAUCAGGUGUUUAGACUCAGUGCUUGCAUCUACCAAAUCAGCAGAGAAUAGAAAGUAAUUUGGGUUGGAAUAUUCAAGCAUUCUGCUUUAUGUAUCCUUUUCUGGUAUUUUUUAAUUAGAAAAUUUAUGCAAAUACAUGAUUUUGUAUUUGACUCACCUGUUCUUUGAGUCAAAACAGGUGUGCAAAAUGAAACAAUCACUGAUUCUGGAUCAGAUGGACUGAAUGUGGUUCUCAAAUUUCUAUAAUGCAACUGAAAUCAACAAACUAAGAUGAUAAAUUCAGGUCUUCUUCGGAAGACUUUUGUGGUGAGGCACUCAUUUGCUCCUGCUGCUUAUUUUUUCACCUGAAACCAUAAUCAUCUGUGAUAGCAAACCGGCUUCUGCAACGAAAUUAUGAUGUGACAGAAUAUUACCAACAUGUAGUCAGGAGCUUGGCAGAACAUUUGAAGGGGAAGGUAAAGUGUGCCAGUAUUGUAAUUUCCCUAAUGCUAUGCUGAGGCAGCAGUCAAAUACAAAAGAACAGUGAUGAAUUUACUGCUCAAGACUUCAAUAAUUCACUUCCAGUCAAAUGCUACUAGUGGAUCUGAGAUUCCAAUAGAGCAGCAACAAUGUUUUUAUCAGCAACAAGACAUACAAUACUACCAGACUCAGUAUUGGCAAGUCAUUUGUUCUGGAUUCCAAGGAUACUUCAGUGUGUAAUUAAAAUGUAGUAAUUACUGUUACCGAAUUCUAUUUGAACUUAAAGAAGCCAACUAGAAAGAGAAUGUUCUACUUAGAUAUACUAAAGUCAGGUAAAGGUCCUCAAAGCUGAAUGUAGCACUUCCCUUUGCCUUCCUUUUCAUAUGCAAUAUGCUUACAGCAGACUCUUCUCUUGAUUUUGUAACGCUGUGAAACUCCUUAGCAAUUCCAUUGCAGUCAAACAAAUUACUCUAGUAAUGAGAGCGUAAGUCAGAGCUGAAGCCAGCUUAGUAUUUCAUACAGCAUGAAAUAAAUCAUGGAAGCCAAUUAUAUGGUAAAACAGCAGCCAAUUUUUCUACACUGGUAAAUAGGCAUUUAUAGCAUCUCAUGCUAUUAACAGAACAGACCUGCACACCACAAUUAAUUUAGAAUUCCUACUCCCAGGCCUGCAGUGCAAUGUUGUCUCAGCUUCAAACUCUCCAAAAAGAAGAAGGGUGCGAAGUGAGCAUGGCAUGGUCACAGUCUGGUGCAGAACAGGGGUGUGCUGCUGGCUGCUGCUCAAAGGAGUUUGGCAAGAGGCUGAGCCUGGUACUGUGUGACAGUGAUGCUGCUAUCUGAAGGAGCCUGAAUGAGCUGUGGGUCUCCACCAAAGCAGCCAGAGGAGCAGUCUCAGAAAGUGUGAAACUCAUGGGGAUUUGGAGUAGGCUGGGAAAAGCCCAAGAAGGAAAAAGUAAAA